UACGUAGGGGGCAAGCGUUGUCCGGAUUUAUUGGGCGUAAAGCGCUCGCAGGUGGCCCGUCGCGUCGUGCGUGAAAGACCCCGGCUCAACCGGGGGGUGUCGUGCGAUACGGGCGGGCUGGAGGCCAGUAGGGGGAUGCGGAAUUCCGGGUGUAGUGGUGGAAUGCGUAGAGAUCCGGAGGAACACCAGCGGCGAAGGCGGCAUCCUGGACUGGUCCUGACACUCAGGAGCGAAAGCGUGGGGAGCGAUCCGG
rnacentral:rRNA from 1 species